CUUUCAGUAUGCACAAUGAUUUCGAUUCAGAGGAUGAGCAGGAAAAGGACGAAGAAGAAGCAGCGACCUCCAGAUCAGGACUUAUCAAACCCAUAGCUGUCUGCCCAGUCAUCGUACAGCCGGAGAUUGACAUAGAGCUCAUUGAAGCUUCAGCAACAACUUAGGUAAUGUCCUGCUUCUCACUGCUGUAGCACGAAUACUGUAUGACUGUAUCCUCCAUGUCGGCUUCUUAUUGUAGUUAUAUCGUGAUGCAUGCUGUUCAUGUUUCUGCACCUUCAGAUUUUGUCUACGUUCAGUUUUAAUUCAUGUCGUUUUCAGUUUUAAGUAAAUCAGAACACUAAUAUUCAUUCACACCCUCUGUAAUCAUGUGUAUAUGUUUGAUUAUUUGGAUUAUGACUGAAUCCGACUAUUAAUGUGUUUUUGUCAAGGAGUUUGUAUUGAAUUAUCUGUAUUGAAAUGUUACUGACUUCACAUUAGCCCUUUUAACACAGAGAUUGCGCCAUAGUGUCAGCAAGAGGUCUCUUUUUUAUGCCACCUUUGCAUUUUUACACAGAACUAAACAAU